rnacentral:rRNA from 1 species
AUGUUCCCCAUCCCCGCGCACGCGACGGUCCAGACGGCGCCGCCGAUACGCCGUCCGUUGCCACGAAUCCAGCCCUUCAAACACCAAGCGGCGGCCGCCGACCCCGACCUCGCCGUCAACUCGUGCCUGGUGCUUUCCUCCGCGUUCCGGCAAGGGUACGCCGGAGACACCAACGGCCUCAACUUCGAGACCCUCUACAGGUGCGCUCACGACUUGGUCAACCUCGGCCAUGGCGAGGUGCUCUACACCCAGGUCGCCACGAGCAUGGCGGCGGGGGUUGAGAAGGUCGCGGAGUCUCUGGACCGCUCCGCCUCCGUGCCGGACGCCGAGUUCCUGCGGGAGCUGCUCGGCGAGUGGAAGAAGCACGGCUGUGCCGUCCUCAUGAUCCUCGACAUCGUCAUGUACAUGGAACGGUCGUUCGUCCUGAAGAGGGGAAAGGCGCCCGUGCGCGAGCUGGGACUCCGGGCGUGGCGCGACGGCGUGGUCCGCCGCUCCGCCGGUGAGGUGCGGCCUAGGCUGCGAGCCGCCCUGCUCAGGAUGGCACGGCGGGAGCGGGCCGGCGAGGCCGUCGACACAGCGCUCUACGAGCUGAUGGCCAGUGCGACCAAGAUGCUGGUGGAGCUGGGCGACAACGUGUACCAACAAGUCCUAGAGAUGCCGUUCCUCGACGAGACCGGCCGGUUCUACGCCCGGGAGUUCUUCCGGCUUCUCCCGUCGUCGUGCGACUGCGGCGAGUACCUGAGCAAAGUCGAGUCCAUGGUCGACGCCGAGAAGGCGCGCGUCUCCCGCUGCCUGGGCGCUCCGACGACAGAGGAGAAGGUGGCGGCGGUGGUGCUGCGGGAGAUGGUGGAGAAGGCCGUGGCGCGGCUGGUCGGGAUGGAGAGCUCCGGGCUCGCGUCCAUGCUGGUGUACGGCAGGUACUGGGACCUGACCAGGAUGCACCGGCUUCUCGGGCGCGUCCAGGGCGGCUUAUCGGCCAUGACGGACGUGAUGGAGGCUCACUUCCGGUUGGUCAGGAAGGCGGCGGGCGACGACGAGCGGUUGCUGUCCGGCGAGAAAGACAGGUAUGCUGAGAUGAUCGACGGCGUGUUCCACGGCGAGGAGUCCUUCCGUGCCGCUCUGGACUCCUGCUUCACAUGA